GACGACGCUGGCGGCGUGGAUUAGGCAUGCAAGUCGGACGGUAGGGCUUUAUCGUAAGAUAGAGUUUGAGAGUGGCGAACGGGUGAGUAACACGUAGGAAUCUACCCUUAAGACGGGACAACCCAGGGAAACUUGGGCUAAUACCGGAUGAGAGUGCGAGAGAUUGCAUUUAAAAGGAUGGCGAAAGUUAUCGCUUAGGGAUGAGCCUGCGGUCUAUUAGUUAGUUGGUGGGGUAAGAGCUCACCAAGGCGAUGAUAGAUAGGCGGCCUUAACGGGUGGUCGCCCACACUGGGAUUGAGAUACGGCCCAGACUCCUACGGGAGGCAGCAGUCGAGAAUAGUCUACAAUGGCCGGAAGGCUGAUAGUGCGACGCCGCGUGAACGAGGGAGCCCUUCGGGGUGUAAAGUUCUUUUCUAUACGAGCAGUGCUAUAUAUAUGGAUAGUAUAUAUAGAGGGAUAGUAGUAUAGGAAUAAGCAACGGCUAACUCCGUG
rnacentral:rRNA from 1 species